AUCGUCCUACGGGGGGCAGCAGUGGGGAAUAUUGCACAAUGGGCGCAAGCCUGAUGCAGCGACGCCGCGUGCGGGAUGGAGGCCUUCGGGUUGUAAACCUCUGUCAGCAGGGAAGAACGGUCACUGUGCUAAUCAGCAGUGAAUUGACGGUACCUGCAAAGGAAGCACCGGCUAACUCUGUGCCAGCAGCCGCGGUAAUACGGAGGGUGCGAGCGUUAAUCGGAAUUACUGGGCGUAAAGCGCUCGUAGGCGGUAUGUCAAGUCAAGGGUGAAAUCCCCGCGCUCAACGUGGGAACUGCCUUUGA
rnacentral:rRNA from 1 species